rnacentral:rRNA from 1 species
UUGGAGGGCAAGUCUGGUGCCAGCAGCCGCGGUAAUUCCAGCUCCAAUAGCGUAUAUUAAAGUUGUUGCAGUUAAAAAGCUCGUAGUUGAAUUUCGGGGUUCUACCGUUGGUCGGGCUAUUGUCUGUACUGGCGUGUAGAAUUUCUACCUUCUGGGGAACUAUCAUGUUAUUAAUUUAGCGUGGUAGGAAACCAGAACCUUUACCUUGAAAAAAUUAGAGUGUUCAAAGCAGGCUUAUGUCUGAAUACAUUAGCAUGGAAUAAUAAAAUAGGACGGUGGUCCUGCUUUGUUGGUUUCUGAAUCACCGUAAUGAUUAAUAGGGAUAGUUGGGGGCAUUAGUAUUCAAUUGUCAGAGGUGGAAUUCUUGGAUUUAUUGAAGACUAACUACUGCGAAAGCAUUUGCCAAGGAUGUUUUCAUUAAUCAGGAACGAAAGUUAGGGGAUCGAAGACGAUCAGAUACCGUCGUAGUCUUAACCAUAAACUAUGCCGACUAGGGAUCGGACGAUGUUAAAAAUUGACUCGUUCGGCGCCUUACGGGAAAC